UACGGGGGGAGCAAGCGUUGUUCGGAUUUACUGGGCGUAAAGGGCGCGUAGGCGGCCACCGCAAGUCGACUGUGAAAUCUCCGGGCUUAACCCGGAAAGGUCAGCCGAUACUGCGGGGCUAGAGUGCGGAAGGGGCAACUGGAAUUCUCGGUGUAGCGGUGAAAUGCGUAGAUAUCGCUUGGAACGCCGAAGGUGAAAACAGGCUGCUGGGGUUGCGCCGACGCUGAGACACGAAAGCCAGGGGAGCAAACGGG
rnacentral:rRNA from 1 species